GUAUAUGAAUAUAUAUUACGUAUAUAGAUAUAUAAUAAAAUAGUAUAUAUUAAGUUAGUUAGUAAAAUCAAAUAUAAUAAAAUAAUAUAUACAGAUAUGAUAAGAUACGUAACGGAAUUUGGGGAAAGUAAAAGUUAAGAUUUAUAAUAUUUAACUUUUGUAACCUUUGAUUAUGUAAAAGGAUAAGGAAAGAUGAAUAAAAUAAAUGGGAGGGGGCUUAUCUUUGUGAAAGGAAGAGUAACAGAAAAGAAGAUAAAAAAAAAAGAGAUAUAGUUGAUAGAAACAGAAGGAUAUAAGAGGCUACUGGGAGUAUUAGUUUAAAAAGAAAAGAAAAAGAAAGUGUGGCAUCCAAUUAUAUUAUAAAGAUAUAUAAUAUAAUAAAGAUGUCACCAUGAAUAAUACUAGAAAAUACUUAAGAGUAAUAGGAUUACAGUCAUCC
rnacentral:lncRNA from 1 species